rnacentral:rRNA from 1 species
AGUGAACGCUGGCGGUAGGCCUAACACAUGCAAGUCGAACGGCAGCACAGUAAGAGCUUGCUCUUACGGGUGGCGAGUGGCGGACGGGUGCGGAAUACAUCGGAAUCUACUUUUUCGUGGGGGAUAACGUAGGGAAACUUACGCUAAUACCGCAUACGAACUACGGGUGAAAGCAGGGGAUCUUCGGACCUUGCGCGAUUGAAUGAGCCGAUGUCGGAUUAGCUAGUUGGCGGGGUAAAGGCCCACCAAGGCGACGAUCCGUAGCUGGUCUGAGAGGAUGAUCAGCCACACUGGAACUGAGACACGGUCCAGACUCCUACGGGAGGCAGCAGUGGGGAAUAUUGGACAAUGGGCGCAAGCCUGAUCCAGCCAUACCGCGUGGGUGAAGAAGGCCUUCGGGUUGUAAAGCCCUUUUGUUGGGAAAGAAAAGCAGCAGGUUAAUACCCCGCUGUUCUGACGGUACCCAAAGAAUAAGCACCGGCUAACUUCGUG